GACGAACGCUGGCGGCGUGCUUAACACAUGCAAGUCGAACGGAAAGGCCCUGCUUUUGUGGGGUGCUCGAGUGGCGAACGGGUGAGUAACACGUGAGUACCUGCCCUUGACUUUGGGAUAACUUCAGGAAACUGGGGCUAAUACCGGAUAGGAGCUCCUGCUGCAUGGUGGGGGUUGGAAAGUUUCGGCGGUUGGGGAUGGACUCGCGGCUUAUCAGCUUGUUGGUGGGGUAGUGGCUUACCAAGGCUUUGACGGGUAGCCGGCCUGAGAGGGUGACCGGCCACAUUGGGACUGAGAUACGGCCCAGACUCCUACGGGAGGCAGCAGUGGGGAAUAUUGCACAAUGGGCGGAAGCCUGAUGCAGCAACGCCGCGUGCGGGAUGACGGCCUUCGGGUUGUAAACCGCUUUCGCCUGCGACGAAGCGUGAGUGACGGUAAUGGGUAAAGAAGCACCGGCUAACUACGUG
rnacentral:rRNA from 1 species